UCACUUAUGGAUGGACCCGCGUCGCAUUAGCUAGUUGGUGAGGUAACGGCUCACCAAGGCAACGAUGCGUAGCCGACCUGAGAGGGUGAUCGGCCACACUGGGACUGAGACACGGCCCAGACUCCUACGGGAGGCAGCAGUAGGGAAUCUUCCGCAAUGGACGAAAGUCUGACGGAGCAACGCCGCGUGAGUGAUGAAGGCUUUCGGGUCGUAAAACUCUGUUGUUAGGGAAGAACAAGUGCUAGUUGAAUAAGCUGGGACCUUGACGGUACCUAACCAGAAAGCCACGGCUAACUACGUGCCAGCAGCCGCGGUAAUACGUAUGUGGCUAGCGUUAUCCGGAAUUAUUGGGCGUAAAGCGCGCGCAGUGGUUUCUAAGUCUGAUGUGAAAGCCCACGGCUCACCCGUGGAGGGUCAUUGGAAACUGGGAGACUUGAGUGCAAAUGAGGAAGUUGAAUUCCAUGUGUAGCGGUGAAAUGCAUAACAGAUAUGGGAAGGAACCACCAGUGGGCGAUGCGACUUUCCUGGUCUGGUACCUGAACACUGGAGGCGCGAAAGCGGUGGGGGAGCCAACAGGGAUUAGAAUACCCUGAUCAGUCCACGCCGUAACCGAUGAUGCUAGCUGAUCGAGGGUUCCGCCCAUUCAUGCUGAGUCACGCAGUAGGCACUCCGCCUGGGGAAUACGUCACAAGCUGAACUCAAACGAUGGACGGGGACCG
rnacentral:rRNA from 1 species